AUUGAACGCUGGCGGCAUGCUUUACACAUGCAAGUCGAACGGCAGCGCGGGCUUCGGCCUGGCGGCGAGUGGCGAACGGGUGAGUAAUGCAUCGGAACGUGCCCAGUAGUGGGGGAUAGCCCGGCGAAAUCCGGAUUAAUACCGCAUACGACCUGAGGGGGAAAGCGGGGGACCGAAAGGCCUCGCGCUAUUGGAGCGGCCGAUGUCGGAUUAGCUAGUUGGUGGGGUAAAGGCUUACCAAGGCGACGAUCCGUAGCUGGUCUGAGAGGACGACCAGCCACACUGGGACUGAGAGACGGCCCAGACUCCUAAGGGAGGCAGCAGUGGGGAAUUUUGGACAAUGGGGGCAACCCUGAUCCAGCCAUGCAGAGUGCGGGAAGAAGGCCUUCGGGUUGUAAACCGCUUUUGUUCGGGAAGAAAUCCUCUGGGCUAAUACCACGGGGGGAUGAGGGUACCGGAAGAAUAAGCACGGGCUAACUACGUG
rnacentral:rRNA from 1 species